UACGUAGGUGGCAAGCGUUGUCCGGAUUUACUGGGCGUAAAGAGCGCGCAGGCGGUCGGAUAAGUCGAAUGUGAAAGCCCCCGGCUCAACUGGGGAGGGUCAUUCGAUACUGUUCGACUCGAAGGCAGGAGAGGGAAGUGGAAUUCCCGGUGUAGUGGUGAAAUGCGCAGAUAUCAGGAGGAACACCGGUGGCGAAGGCGGCAUCCUGGACCAUUACUGACACUGAAAAGCGAAAGCCAGGGGAGCAAACGGG
rnacentral:rRNA from 1 species